GUGGAUGUGCUUGCACAUGUGCUAAAAUUGGAACGAUACAGAGAUUAGCAUGGCUGCUGUGUGAGGAUGACACGCAAAUUUGUGAAGCAUUCUCUAUUUUU
rnacentral:snRNA from 1 species